AGUAGCAAAUAUUCAAGUGAAAUCCUUGAAAACUGAAGUGGAGAAGGGUUCCACGCGAGAGCAGUUAAAUAUGGGUCAGUCGAUCCUAAGAUAUCGGCUAAUGCCGCUAUGGAUUACUGAGAACAGGAGUUCAAAUCCACCUUUCGGCAAUCGAAAUGGAAACGGACUAAUAUUUCCGUAGCUGGACACAGAGAUAAAUGCUCAUAAUGGGUGUUUAGCAUGGUAACACAGUACUGCGAAGCUAAAAUAUGCAGUGUUUGUUAAGUGCGAGAAGGGGCACUUGCAGCGAUAGAAGAGGGAAAUAAAAAAAUGCCUGCCAUGAAACCUUUGAAAAAAAUGGCGAAGAAUGAUGAUUCCUCAUUAUUUUCCCGCAAACCCAACAAUCAUGAUUGAAAACAACAAUAACUUACACUCUGCUCUGCUGCGCUCCCGUCUGACGGCACACUUUUGGCAAUCCUCUUCGAUCGUCGACCCUCAACGACUGCUUCA
rnacentral:ncRNA from 1 species